rnacentral:rRNA from 1 species
UGGCAGUUCCCUACUCUCGCAUGGGGAGACCCCACACUACCAUCGGCGCUACGGCGUUUCACUUCUGAGUUCGGCAUGGGGUCAGGUGGGACCACCGCGCUACGGCCGCCA